rnacentral:rRNA from 1 species
UACAGAGGGGGCAAGCGUUGUUCGGAAUUACUGGGCGUAAAGGGCGCGUAGGCGGCCUGCUAAGUCGAACGUGAAAUCCCUGGGCUCAACCCAGGAACUGCGUCCGAUACUGGUUGGCUUGAAUCCGGGAGAGGGAUGCGGAAUUCCAGGUGUAGCGGUGAAAUGCGUAGAUAUCUGGAGGAACACCGGUGGCGAAGGCGGCUGGCUGGACCGCAACUGACGCUGAGGAACGAAAGCUAGGGGAGCAAACAGG